rnacentral:misc_RNA from 1 species
UUUGCAUGUGGCUCCUCUGCACACAUGCGAAGUCUACAACGUGUGCCGCGGUACCGAGACCCCCUGGUCCGCAAUGUAGCCCGAAUGCUCCUGCGCGGCUUGCAAGAGCAGCAUCAUACACCGUCCUCGACAAGGCUCGAGCUUGAGGUGCGGCUCGGCAGCAUCCUGGCGCACACUCGGGCACGUCAGCUAGAUAUACCCAUUGCCGUAGCGUCGCCAGCCUUGAUGGAUGAGACGGCGCGCAACGUCUACCAAUUCCAUGCUGGCAUUUCGCACCCACUGCUUCACGGGAUGCAGGCGGCUCUGCUAGAGGCUGGUCUUGCCACGCGAAAAGACGUGGACCUGCAAGGAGGGAGAGUUGAUGUGCACGUGUUUCUUUCCAAUGAGAAACGGCUUCACUGUCUCUACCAGCCGCUCCACGGGGAAGCCCCCGGUGCGCGCGCAGACGGCGUCAAGACGGCCGCCUCAAACCCCGAGGCGCCGCCGUACAAUCCGCUGUGCCUCACCCAGAGUAUCACGGUUCUUUCUGCCGAAAAGAAGGGCCGGUUGGCUAUGAUGGACAUGUGCUGCCCAGGCUGGUGCGCUGACCUGCGUUUCGCUCUCUCUAAGGAGACGGCUGUGCCCGUUGAGCUGACGGAUGCAACGAAGGAGCGGGCGAUCGCGUCGCGCUGCCGUGCGCGCACAUCCGUCCCGGUCGGGCGUUUUUUUUCGGUUCAAAUGACACAGUCGAUCUUCAGCCGGGAUGUCUGGUGGUACCCGCCACCGGCCGUGCGCUCCUACCUCGAGAUGGACGCGGGUGCGUCAUCAUCACCCGCGGCGGUCACGGGCACGACCGUGUUCGGUGUCGGCACGGUGCUCCCAACACCAGUGCUGUUUUAUCCGGAGAAAGCGGCGGGACGCAUCGGUCGGAGCGACGCGGAAACCACGAUCGAAGUCGAGGUGGAGAUCAACCUGCGCGCGCUGCUGCGUGAGUGGAAACGCGUCUAUGGGGGUGCUGCCGCGUCUGCUUACCUAUCCACCUCGGCGCUUGUGGAUACAACGUGCGCCGGAACGUCGAUCGCAGGCGACGCAACGCUUAAGCCGUCAAUAGCCACGGCGACCAUAGAUGACGUCGCCGAUAUGCACGCCACGGUAUUGGCGGAGAGGGAAGACCCCUAUCUCUUGCGCGUGGCCGAAGAAGUGAUGGCAGUGGUGCAGCUGCUCACCAAGGUGCGCGUCGUCGAGUGAGGCUCCCGGCUUUUGAACAUCCUGGCUAUGUCUGUCCGUCUCCCUCUCUUAUCAUCACAGUCCCGAAACUCAGCGAGACGAAGAUGAGGUACCGCGAACAUGUCGCACAAACAGUCGUCAGGCGCAGGAGCAGGCGUCGAAGCAGGGAGAGGGAGAGGGAGGGAGGUGGCAGGGAAGACGGCGGCCAGGCAUGCGGUACAUGAGCGCCUCUUCACAUGUGCACACACACACACACACAUGCACGUGCGGAGGUGUGCUUACGAAGGGAAGUACUAAACUCCACAACAGAACUCUCCGAAUGAGAGCCACCCGUGGAUGCGCGCGCACGCACGCACUGCACCGCUGCCUCCUCUCCUUCUCUCUCUCCCUGCAUUCCCCAUCGGAGUGCAUUGGCGUGUAUACGCAAACAGUCUCAGGGAGGAGGGUAGCAAGUGCCACGCUGUUUUCUGUGCCGCUGUCUCAUGAUGACCUACUGCCACUACUGCCCAUGUGACCGUGGCGAGACCGGCGGGGGGAGGGAGAGGUGAUGCACGUACUUCUGUAAAAUGCGGUGCUUCUUCCUGAGGCAUUGAAGCCUGCAGUUCUACUGUGUUCUCUCUCGCUCUCUGUCUCUCUCCCCCACAUGCACACAUACACACGCACGCGCACUUGUUGGCCUUUGGUCUUCUCUUGAUCUCACUUUCACGCCACAG